rnacentral:rRNA from 1 species
AACGAACGCUGGCGGCAUGCCUAACACAUGCAAGUCGAACGAGACCUUCGGGUCUAGUGGCGCACGGGUGCGGAACGCGUGGGAACCUGCCCUUAGGUUCGGAAGAACUCCCCGAAAGGGGUGCUAAUACCGGAUAAUGUCUUCGGACCAAAGAUUUAUCGCCUUUGGAUGGGCCCGCGUUGGAUUAGCUAGUUGGUAGGGUAAAAGCCUACCAAGGCGACGAUCCAUAGCUGGUCUGAGAGGAUGAUCAGCCACACUGGGACUGAGACACGGCCCAGACUCCUACGGGAAGCAGCAGUGGGGAAUAUUGGACAAUGGGCGAAAGCCUGAUCCAGCAAUGCCGCGUGAGUGAUGAAGGCCUUAGGGUUGUAAAGCUCUUUUACCCGGGAUGAUAAUGACAGUACCGGGAGAAUAAGCUCCGGCUAACUCCGUG